GCCUGGCCUAUCGGCACGUGCCUAUAGUCCCAGCUACUCAGGAGGCUGAGGUGAUAGGCUCGCUUGAGCCCAGGAGUUCUGGGCUAUAUUGUGCUAUGCUGAUCGGAUGUCUGCACUAAGUUCAGCUUCAAUAUGGUGACCUCCCAGGAGUGGGGAACCACCAGGUUGCCUAAGGAGGGGCAAACCAACCCAGGUAGGAAAUGGAGCAGAUCAGAACUUCUGUGCCGAUCAGUGGUGGGAAGGUGCCUGUAGCUGGCCACUGCACCCCAGCCUGGGCAACAUAGCAAGACCUCAUCUCU
rnacentral:SRP_RNA from 1 species